AACCCAACAGCUAGCCUACCCAAAUAAAAUCAACGAAUAAACAUAAAUAACCCCACAAACACUACAAACCUUAAAACAAACCAUUUUUCCACUCUAGUAUAGGAGAUAGAAAAAGAUCACAGAGCAAUAGAAAAAGUACCGCAAGGGAAAGCUGAAAGAGAAAUGAAAAAACCCAGUCAAGUCAAAAAAAGCAGAGAUUUAUCC
rnacentral:rRNA from 1 species